AACGAACGCUGGCGGCAGGCUUAACACAUGCAAGUCGAGCGCAUCCUUCGGGGUGAGCGGCAGACGGGUGAGUAACGCGUGGGAACGUACCCUUUCCUACGGAAUAGCUCCGGGAAACUGGAAUUAAUACCGUAUACGCCCUUAGGGGGAAAGAUUUAUCGGGGAAGGAUCGGCCCGCGGGGGAUUAGCUAGUUGGUGGGGUAAAGGCCUACCAAGGCGACGACCCAUAGCGGGUCUGAGAGGAUGAUCAGCCACAUUGGGAGUGAGACACGGCCCAAACUCCUACGGGAGGCAGCAGUGGGGAAUAUUGGACAAUGGGCGCAAGCCUGAUCCAGCCAUGCCGCGUGAGUGAUGAAGGCCUUAGGGUUGUAAAGCUCUUUCAGUAGGGAAGAUAAUGACGGUACCUACAGAAGAAGCCCCGGCUAACUUCGUGCCAGCCGCCGCGGUAA
rnacentral:rRNA from 1 species